rnacentral:rRNA from 1 species
GACGAACGCUGGCGGCGUGCUUAACACAUGCAAGUCGAACGGUAAGGCCCUUCGGGGUACACGAGUGGCGAACGGGUGAGUAACACGUGGGUGAUCUGCCCUGCACUUCGGGAUAAGCCUGGGAAACUGGGUCUAAUACCGGAUAGGACCACUGCCUGCAGGGGUGGUGGUGGAAAGCUUUUGCGGUGUGGGAUGGGCCCGCGGCCUAUCAGCUUGUUGGUGGGGUGAUGGCCUACCAAGGCGACGACGGGUAGCCGGCCUGAGAGGGUGACCGGCCACACUGGGACUGAGAUACGGCGCAGACUCCUACGGGAGGCAGCAGUGGGGAAUAUUGCACAAUGGGCGCAAGCCUGAUGCAGCGACGCCGCGUGAGGGAUGACGGCCUUCGGGUUGUAAACCUCUUUCAGCACCGACGAAGCGCAAGUGACGGUAGGUGCAGAAGAAGGACCGGCCAACUACGUGCCAGCAGCCGCGGUAA